CAUAGACUUUCUCAGAUUUAUUGUAUGUCCUCAGACAAUAGAUAAAAAAUGCAUGGGGUUUACUUCCAGGGAUUUACAGACCAAUGUAAGUAAACAGCUGGGGUUUCUUUUUAGGCUGUUUCUCUUGGAGGUGGUGCAGGAGGUUGAGGAAAGCACCUCUGAUGAGCAGAUAGCUGGAGGCUGUUCCCACAGUCAUGUCCCAGCGAAGAAGUCAGAGUCCGGCAGCCAUCAGAACCAAGGGAUUCAACUUGGUGUCAUCUUCGAAGAGAGAAGACAGAAGGAGCGAGAUUAGUGGAAUCAUUACAGCCUUUGUCACUCUGAGUCCAGAUGGGAUGAAAGUUCAGCCCAAACUUUCAUUUUAGAGGACGGCAUAUUUCUUGUCAGCAAGCCUCUGAUGGGUCCCCCAGUUCCCCGCUGCUGUGGAGAGAGAGGAGGCCCACAGAGGUGGCCUGACUGCGGUGCUGUGCUGGCAAUCCAGACCCCCUGUUCCCACCCGUCAUCCUGCAGGCCUCUCCUCUCUUCUGCUGCCCCCACAGUCCAGUCUGCCUGCUUCUCCUGAUGCGGAUGCCACUGCCCCCACCCUGGCUUCCCCUUGUUUCUUCCUGGUUACUGCUUCUUGCUUUUGCCCCCACUGGAGAAUGAGGUCAUGGGAGCAGUGGGGGACGGCAGUGCUCAGGUGGUGAAUGGGCUUGGGGACCCUGGAGACUGAGGUGGAUUUCCCACGCCCCCUCUGAGGGCUGCUCAGAGAGUACUUAUCUUGGAAUCCGUCUCCCCCCAACACACACCCACUGACUCCCAUGGGGAGAGGCGGUGGAGAGGACUUUAGCCUUGGUCUUCCUUUCCUACCAGGAGGAUGACAGCUCCAGCCCUGCAGCUCCUUCCUUCGCCUGACUCCUGCACUGGAGCCGGAUGGUUUAGAAUGAGAUCCAGGCCUCCUCCCACAUUUCCCUCCCUUCCUUCCAUCCCAGGCAGAUCAAGGAACUUGCUGCUUCUCAGGAAAGCAGCUGGACAGAGUGGGUGGGACGAGGAGUCCAGGUGGUCCCCAAGGCAAGCACUGCGCAGGUGUGGGCUUUAUGAGUGAGGAGAUGAACUACAGCUGCAGAGACUCAGAUAUAUCAGCUUGAGAGAGAAAGGGAGUUAAGAAGUCAA